rnacentral:lncRNA from 1 species
CACUGUGUCCCUGUUCUUCAUCUCUCUACAAGGCAGUUGCAUACUUGAAGGAAUAGGUCUCUCAGUUUCAGGCUCAAGUAAAAUUGCACACGUAUCCAAAGCAGUCGUACACACCAGCUCCGGUCCUGGGAGCAGCCCAGAAGAAGGAACACAGCCUGUACAGCCUAAUUCAUCUACAUGUUGUCACAGCUAGACCUCCUGUGGAAGCUGUGCCGUCUUACCUGUCUUACUGUCACACAGCACUCCACUUCGUGCAGAACUAACGCCUCCCAAAGUGCUCUGGGGGCAGGCUGGAACUCCAGUGUGAAGUAG